rnacentral:rRNA from 1 species
AGAGUUUGAUCAUGGCUCAGGACGAACGCUAGCGACGUGCCUAAGAAAUGCAAGUCGAGCGAGGUUGAGGAGCUUGCGCAAGCCUAGCGCGAACGGUCGCGUAACACGUAAGCAACCUGCCCUGAAAUGGGGGAUAGCCCGCCGAAAGACGUUAAUACCGCAUGUGAACACUCUUCCGCAUGCUUGAGUGUUUAAAGCAGCAAUGCUGUUCAGGAUGGGCUUGCGGCUAUCAGCUAGUUGGUGAGGUAACGGCCCACCAAGGCUACGACGGGUAGGGGACCUGAGAGGGUGGUCCCCCACACUGGCACUGAAACACGGGCCAGACACCUACGGGUGGCAGCAGUAGGGAAUAUUGGGCAAUGGGCGAAAGCCUGACCCAGCAACGCCGCGUGCACGAUGAAGGUCUUCGGAUCGUAAAGUGCUUUUCUGAGAGAUGAGAAAGGACAGUAUCUCAGGAAUAAGUCUCGGCUAACUACGUGCCAGCAGCCGCGGUAAAACGUAGGAGGCAAGCGUUAUCCGGAUUUACUGGGCGUAAAGCGCGUGCAGGUGGUUCGGUGAGUUGGAUGUGAAAGCUCCUGGCUCAACUGGGAGAGGUCGUUCGAUACUACCGGACUUGAGAGCAGUAGAGGGAUGUGGAAUUCCCGGUGUAGUGGUGAAAUGCGUAGAUGUCGGGAGGAACACCAGUGGCGAAAUCGGCAUCCUGGACUGUUUCUGACACUCAGACGCGAAAGCUAGGGUAGCAAACGGGAUUAGAGACCCCGGUAGUCCUAGCAGUAAACGAUGUGAACUUGGCGUCGGCGGGUUCAAAGCCGUCGGUGCCGAAGCUAACGCGAUAAGUUCACCUCCUGGGGACUACGGCCGCAAGGUUAAAACUCAAAGGAAUUGACGGGUCCCCGCACAAGCAGCGGAGCGUGUGGUUUAAUUCGAUGUUACACGAAGAACCUUACCCAGGUUUGACAUGUUGGUGGUAGGGAAGCGAAAGCAGACGCACUUCGGGGAGCCUUCACAGGUGUUGCAUGGCUGUCGUCAGCUCGUGUCGUGAGAUGUUCGGUUAAGUCCGCCAACGAGCGCAACCCUCGUCGUAUGUUACAUGUGUCAUACGAGACCGCCGGUAUCAAGCCGGAGGAAGGUGGGGAUGACGUCAAGUCAGCAUGGCCUUCAUAUCUGGGGCUACACACGCGCUACAAUGGCCGGUACAAUGGGUUGCUAAGCCGCGAGGUAGAGCCAAUCCCCAAAGCCGGCCUCAGUUCAGAUCACAGGCUGAAACUCGCCUGUGUGAAGUCGGAGUUGCUAGUAAACGCGCGUCAGCUAUAGUGCGUUGAAUACGUUCCCGGGGAUUGUACACACCGCCCGUCACGUCAUGGGAGCUGGCAACACCUGAAGCCGGUAGCCUAACCGCAAGGAGGGCGCCGUCGAGGGUGGGGUUGGUGACUGGGACGAAGUCGUAACAAGGUAGGUGUACCGGAAGGUGCGCCUGGAUCACCU